AAUCGCUUCAAAAACAAUAGGGUCCUCGCAGGUUCCCUGCUCGGGCCCUAAUUAAGGAUCCAUGGCGGGACUCAAACCCAGAGCAGAAGCAAAGCCUCCAUUCACAUCCUGCUCUACCACCUGAGCUAAACACCAUUAUGAGUUCACACUGGAUGAAUAAACACAAUGAGUCCCGCCCACAGACUUUCUGACGAAUGCAGGUGGAGCGCGCCGAAAAGGGGCGGUCUCGCUCGUUUCCCGCGUGAAAUUAGUGGAUUUCCCUCCAAAACUGUAGAUGUGUAUUUAAAUAGCUGUUGGAUCGUCACUCUGGUUCCAGCGGCUCUACUCUGAGGACACGAAUACGGUGAACAGUGGGACUUGUCUUCAGCUUCAGGUGGAACAGCUCUGACCUGUAUGGUGAUCAGACCCGGAGAGGAGACACACCUGGUCCAACCAGGUGAUGGACAGUUGAAAGGACGAAUCACCAAGAUGAGCCAAUCAAUGGAGACGAGCCGCCACAGGAGCCUGAACCUGUACUUCACGAGGGGGAUCAAACAUGGCUGAUAUAUCUGCAGUUCACUGCUCGUUUCUCCAGAAUUAUUUUUGCAGUUGAGAGUCACAGUAAAGUUCAGUCCAGCCUGCUGAGAUACGAAUCACAAAACAAAAGGUGAAACACCUGAAAACAAAGGAGAAGAAAUGGAGAAGGGACGGAGGACAGUGUGUUCUUUAGUGUUUAACGAUGAGUCGGUGCGUCUCGUCUCAAAGACGCACAGCAACCACAGAUUCAGACCCAUCGAUGAAGCUGCACAGGGUCUUAAAUAAGAGCUCCAGAAGUCCCUGAAGCCCUUACAGGAGAACCUAAAGGUCUUUGAACAAGUUAAAGGAAACUGAGCUCAAACAGCAGAAGGCAUCAAGGUCCAGGCCCGACACACAGAGGCGCAGAUCAAAGAGCAGUUUAAGAGCUUCAUCAGUUUCUACAAGAGGAAGAGGAGGCCAGGAUCUCUGCUCUGGGCAGAGAAAUAGCGGCACUUUCACAGUCAGAGCCACAGAGGAGGAUCAGACAGCUGAAGACGUCUCAAUCCUGCAGAACUACAAGGCUGAAGUGAAGAGAGUCCAGCAGCGCCUCCUGCUGGAGGAUCCACAGCUGGUCUCAGGAGCUCUGAUAGACCAGGCCAAACAUCUGGGCAACCUGAGCUUCAACAUCUGGAAUAAGAUGAGGGACACUGCUGUCAUUCUGGAUCUGAACUCUGCUCAUCCAGAACUCCUCCACUGUUUGUCUGUGAUGAUAACUGUGCUGAUGAUGAGGACUGUGGUGAUCAAGCAAUGUGUUCUCCCACUGAAGUUUAUCAGGAAAUAAUGUCUCUGCAACAGUGAAACUAAGUAAGUUAAAAGUUCAACCAAAAAGGAAAGUUCACUCUUUAUCUACUCACCCCCAAGCUGACUGAAAGUCAGGUGAAGUUUUGUGGUCCACAAAACAUUUCUGGAGCUUCAAAUGCAAGACAAUGUGGCAGCAUUCUCCUAAAAAAACUGAAAUAAAAACUUCAAAAAAACACAGAAAAUAAGAUAAAAUGGCUCCUUGCAGCUUGUCCAGCCUCCAACACAAACAUAAUGUGAUAAAAUAUUAGAAACAUUUUCUUAUUUAUGGCUGAUUGGAAUAUUACAUCACUGACUUUCUCAUGCAGUUCCCAUGGAUCGUGAUCAGAAUCAGAAUCAGAACUCUUUUAUUCAUCCUGCAAAUGGGGAUAUCUGUGUGUCACAGCAGCAUAAGGACAGUUCAAUUUAACAAUAAAGAAUAAUCAUAGUACAAAAUGAACAACAUAAUAAAAAGGUAAGAAACAGAUUCCUAUAAACAUAAUAUGUACAAGUGU